GCAGCCGCCGCGGUAAUACGUAGGUGGCAAGCGUUGUCCGGAUUUACUGGGCGUAAAGAGCGCGCAGGCGGUCGUUCAAGUCGCGUGUGAAAGCCCCCGGCUCAACUGGGGAGGGUCACGCGAUACUGAUCGACUCGAAGGCAGGAGAGGGUAGUGGAAUUCCCGGUGUAGUGGUGAAAUGCGUAGAUAUCGGGAGGAACACCAGUGGCGAAGGCGACUACCUGGCCUGUUCUUGACGCUGAGGCGCGAAAGCUAGGGGAGCAAACGGGAUUAGAUACCCCGGUAGUCCUAGCCGUAAACGAUGGACACUAGGUGUUGGUGGUAUCAACCCCGCCAGUGCCGAAGCUAACGCAUUAAGUGUCCCGCCUGGGGAGUACGGCCGCAAGGCUAAAACUCAAAGGAAUUGACGGGGGCCCGCACA
rnacentral:rRNA from 1 species